UACGAGGGGGGCGAGCGUUGUUCGGAAUUAUUGGGCGUAAAGGGUGCGUAGGCGGUUCCGCAAGUCCUGUGUGAAAUCUUCGGGCUCAACUCGAAGUCUGCACGGGAAACUGCGGGGCUUGAGUGUGGGAGAGGUGAGUGGAAUUCCCGGUGUAGCGGUGAAAUGCGUAGAUAUCGGGAGGAAUACCGAUGGCGAAGGCAGGUCUCUGGGCUGACACUGACGCUCAUGCACGAAAGCGUGGGGAGCAAACAGG
rnacentral:rRNA from 1 species